UAGGAUUCGCAGUUUUCGCUGUCAACUACGGAUCGUGGUUAGCCCUGAUACAGUCGGAGGAUAUUUAUUAUUGAAAACCUGUGGUUAAUUUGGUUUUGCACUUUUAUAAUAACGUAACAUCGCCACGGAGCGCCAGAACUCAGCGCUAACGGGCGCCAAUCGCUUCAAUGAAACAUAUAUGCCAGUACUGGCUAUUGAAGAUGCAAG